GAGUUUGAUCAUGGCUCAGAUUGAACGCUGGCGGCAGGCCUAACACAUGCAAGUCGAACGGUAACAGGAAACAGCUUGCUGUUUCGCUGACGAGUGGCGGACGGGUGAGUAAUGUCUGGGAAACUGCCUGAUGGAGGGGGAUAACUACUGGAAACGGUAGCUAAUACCGCAUAACGUCGCAAGACCAAAGAGGGGGACCUUCGGGCCUCUUGCCAUCAGAUGUGCCCAGAUGGGAUUAGCUAGUAGGUGGGGUAACGGCUCACCUAGGCGACGAUCCCUAGCUGGUCUGAGAGGAUGACCAGCCACACUGGAACUGAGACACGGUCCAGACUCCUACGGGAGGCAGCAGUGGGGAAUAUUGCACAAUGGGCGCAAGCCUGAUGCAGCCAUGCCGCGUGUAUGAAGAAGGCCUUCGGGUUGUAAAGUACUUUCAGCGGGGAGGAAGGGAGUAAAGUUAAUACCUUUGCUCAUUGACGUUACCCGCAGAAGAAGCACCGGCUAACUCCGUGCCAGCAGCCGCGGUAAUACGGAGGGUGCAAGCGUUAAUCGGAAUUACUGGGCGUAAAGCGCGCGCAGGCGGUUUGUUAAGUCAGAUGUGAAAUCCCCGGGCUCAACCUGGGAACUGCAUCUGAUACUGGCAAGCUUGAGUCUCGUAGAGGGGGGUAGAAUUCCAGGUGUAGCGGUGAAAUGCGUAGAGAUCUGGAGGAAUACCGGUGGCGAAGGCGGCCCCCUGGACGAAGACUGACGCUCAGGUGCGAAAGCGUGGGGAGCAAACAGGAUUAGAUACCCUGGUAGUCCACGCCGUAAACGAUGUCGACUUGGAGGUUGUGCCCUUGAGGCGUGGCUUCCGGAGCUAACGCGUUAAGUCGACCGCCUGGGGAGUACGGCCGCAAGGUUAAAACUCAAAUGAAUUGACGGGGGCCCGCACAAGCGGUGGAGCAUGUGGUUUAAUUCGAUGCAACGCGAAGAACCUUACCUGGUCUUGACAUCCACGGAAGUUUUCAGAGAUGAGAAUGUGCCUUCGGGAACCGUGAGACAGGUGCUGCAUGGCUGUCGUCAGCUCGUGUUGUGAAAUGUUGGGUUAAGUCCCGCAACGAGCGCAACCCUUAUCCUUUGUUGCCAGCGGUCCGGCCGGGAACUCAAAGGAGACUGCCAGUGAUAAACUGGAGGAAGGUGGGGAUGACGUCAAGUCAUCAUGGCCCUUACGACCAGGGCUACACACGUGCUACAAUGGCGCAUACAAAGAGAAGCGACCUCGCGAGAGCAAGCGGACCUCAUAAAGUGCGUCGUAGUCCGGAUUGGAGUCUGCAACUCGACUCCAUGAAGUCGGAAUCGCUAGUAAUCGUGGAUCAGAAUGCCACGGUGAAUACGUUCCCGGGCCUUGUACACACCGCCCGUCACACCAUGGGAGUGGGUUGCAAAAGAAGUAGGUAGCUUAACCUUCGGGAGGGCGCUUACCACUUUGUGAUUCAUGACUGGGGUGAAGUCGAAACAAGGUAACCGUAGGGGAACCUGCGGUUG
rnacentral:rRNA from 1 species